rnacentral:rRNA from 1 species
UUAAUUGAAGAGUUUGAUCAUGGCUCAGAUUGAACGCUGGCGGCAGGCCUAACACAUGCAAGUCGAGCGGUAACAGAAAAGAAGCUUGCUUCUUUUGCUGACGAGCGGCGGACGGGUGAGUAAUGCCUGGGAAUAUACCCUGAUGUGGGGGAUAACUAUUGGAAACGAUAGCUAAUACCGCAUAAUCUCUUCGGAGCAAAGAGGGGGACCUUCGGGCCUCUCGCGUCAGGAUUAGCCCAGGUGGGAUUAGCUAGUUGGUGGGGUAAUGGCUCACCAAGGCGACGAUCCCUAGCUGGUCUGAGAGGAUGAUCAGCCACACUGGAACUGAGACACGGUCCAGACUCCUACGGGAGGCAGCAGUGGGGAAUAUUGCACAAUGGGGGAAACCCUGAUGCAGCCAUGCCGCGUGUAUGAAGAAGGCCUUCGGGUUGUAAAGUACUUUCAGUUGUGAGGAAGGCGUUGGAGUUAAUAGCUUUAGCGUUUGACGUUAGCAACAGAAGAAGCACCGGCUAACUCCGUGCCAGCAGCCGCGGUAAUACGGAGGGUGCGAGCGUUAAUCGGAAUUACUGGGCGUAAAGCGCAUGCAGGCGGUCUGUUAAGCAAGAUGUGAAAGCCCGGGGCUCAACCUCGGAACAGCAUUUUGAACUGGCAGACUAGAGUCUUGUAGAGGGGGGUAGAAUUUCAGGUGUAGCGGUGAAAUGCGUAGAGAUCUGAAGGAAUACCGGUGGCGAAGGCGGCCCCCUGGACAAAGACUGACGCUCAGAUGCGAAAGCGUGGGGAGCAAACAGGAUUAGAU